AAAUUCAUUUUUCAUAUAGCAUUUUUCUAAAAUACUAGGUAUGAUGUGAAAGUAUUAAUUAAUGGAUGAGGAUACAAUUACUCAUAUAUCCUUUUGUAGAAAGACAGCAGAAUAUUGAAUAAGGUUAUGUGAAAGAAGAUUGUGAGGUAAUUUCUCGUGCCUAGUCCAAAACAAGCAUAUUAUAUUAUCAUAUACACGGC
rnacentral:lncRNA from 1 species